GAGUUGGUGCCGGAAUUGGUUACGGGGCGGAUUGCAAAUCCGUUCAUGCGGGUUCGAGUCCCGUCCAGCUCUCCA
rnacentral:tRNA from 2 species